rnacentral:sRNA from 1 species
GCAAGCAUAAAUGAUCAAAGAAUCUCUCAACCGCCAUAACGCGCAGGUAUGUACAAUACACGAUACAGUAGCUCCAGCUCGGCAAAGUAGGCGGCUUACUUAAUCAGGAGCAUUGAUACGUACAUGGGUAUUAUGAGGACUUCAUUUGUGUAUCAACGACACCCUUUAUUUGUGCUGCUGUAACUUGCUUUGCGGUUGGACGCCUUGUUGCUCAGAGGCAAGAAGAGAAAAAGGCACUCGCGUCUCGACCAUACUGAGCAUGAGCUGCCGAGCUUCCCUCGUCUCCGACCUGCCCCUGUACUCCCGACUUCUCCCCUCAUAACAUAUUCAUCUCUUUUGCCUUCCUCCACAGUUCAGAAACAUGAAGAAAACCAAGGGGCUGAUCUCCCGGAAGAAGAAAACGGCAAAGAUUGGUUCCGAGCAAAAAUCCUUCAUGUGGCCUACCGCAGUCAGACUGAAGUUUGGCUAGACAAUGAAUCGUGGGCAGAUGCCUACUCCCGUCUCUUGGCUGCCAGGACCCUACGAAACAAUGGGGGAAAAGCUGAUUCCAUGCCUUCGAAACCCAGAAGCCUUGCUGUCCCCCAACUGUCAGAAGAAGAGUUUGAAGGUUUGAAGGCCUCGAGAUUGUCCAAGAACGAUCUAACCAAUGAACGGCGUCUCUCGGCAAUUUAGCCGCACCCAAUCGAUUCAUUGAAACAAACUAGGCCCAAGGGACUUCUAAAAAGUCUUCAGGUGGAAGGAGUUGUCGAAGAAAAAGGGUUCGGGAAGAUGUGGCAUUAUUGAGCAAAGGCAUCGAAGGCUGGAAACAUCCUACGCCUUCUGAAUUAUCCCUGAAUUACCCCAUCCUCUUCCUUUUCCUUGAAUACACUGUUCUCAAUGCGAAGCAAGCUCUAUGCCUCGACAAAUUCCUACGACGCUGCCAGCAUUCCUUGUGAGCUGGUCCUAACAACCGUGUGCCGUCAUUUCUCCUAAACCUUGACGAUACUGCGGAUACUGGCAAAACUCCCACAAUCAACGCAAUAUAUCAGACGGCCAUAGGCCUAAUGGAUGAGGCUGACAUGGGAGGCAUGGUGAUUGUACGGCGAUUAGCGUCAACAGGCAUAGCCGCCCUUCAUAUACAUCGUUCCACAUAUCAUUCCUCACUCGACUCUUCCCCCAAUGGAAAGUAAAGGCAAAGCAGCUGCAGGUCGUCAGUUGACUUCCCUUCAAGAGGACUGGAAACACAUACGUUAUCUGAUCAUUGAUGAAACAAUGGUUGGUCUGGGACUGGCUCUCACUGACAAACGUCUUCGUGAGAUCUUUCCUCAUAGGAACGUUUGGUUUGGUGGAUUGAUUGUCAUCGUCUGCGGAGCUUUCGGUCUCAACCUCUCCGGCCUGUAUCUCGCAAAGAAAUCAAUCCUCCGUAUCUCUGCUCUGCAUACCUGUCACGGCGCUAUGCAGAAGCUACGCCCGAAACCUCCACCUCUCUCGGCCGCCGCACCAAAGCACCUCCACCUCCGACGACCGCGGCCGAUCGUCUAAAUUCUCUUUGGUUUCUCGACACCUCUCUUCGUCCCUCGGUAUCUCUCCAGCCAUCUCGCUACCUUCCCGUCUCCUUCGAGCUAUCUAUACAUGCUCUGGUCAGCAUGCUCACCACCUCCUCGGGCCCCGUUCGGUACAUGAAUCAGCAGUAUGAGAAAGAUGAGUAAGCAAGGAAAACUAGGAAAAGUAUAUAAACCAUAGUUUAUAGUUUUCAUAGUUUCCCCCAGAAAAUCAACUGUUGUCUUCUCUUAUCUUUGUCCCAGUCCCGUUGCUUCUUCCCACCUUCUAGACCUUAUCACGUCUAAAAUCGCAUCGGUCAGCCCUUAGUCCGGCUCCUGUUCCCUUUCAGGCCUCGGCUAUUCUGUCCUCGUCCUUUCCUUCUCGCCACCUCGUUGAUUGAGCGUCGGGCUUUACGCUGACCGGCGUGACAGCCCUGACAGGAAGUUUUUCCAUAAACAUUCUAUACAUAUAUAGUAAAUGCUCUGUUCCUUCUUUCUUUCCUCAUGCAACGUAGAAACCUAUUCUUGACACGAAAGUCAUGCUUAUUAGAAACCUUUGGGUCGAUCAGGGCCUCACGAAUGGGUCAAUGGGAUAAGUGCACGAGAUUUCCUUGGACGGUGUCGCACGACCAAGGGUUGAUAUGCCUUCAUCUGUGGCGUACCUCGGUUCUAAUCACCCCGGCUAAGUGUGAAUGGAAGUCCCAGGGAUUUGCGCAAAGUCGUACCCAAUUCCCUCUUCAACUCGCAUUUGCCAUCACCAUCCACAAAUCUCAAGGCAUGACUCUUGACAGAGGAUGCUUCUGGUACGUACUGCAAAGGAUCAGAGGCCUGCAGAAGAUGGAAGUGGGCCGUUAGGAAUGAGGGGAGGAAUGAAAAAAACAUAAAUAAUAAAUUUGGAAGGAAUAAUGAAAUUCCACGCAAAAAGCUAAUAAAGAGAAAACACAGAUACUAUGCAAAUGGAAGAUGGAAAAGAACACGCCCCUUCUCAGAUGUAACAUCAAGCGGACUUAAUCGUGACUAAAAAUUCGAGAGCGUUGGGUUUACAAUUGGAAAGACCGCCAAACAGAAGAGGAUGCUCGCAACUAGUAUACAUUCCCCUGUCUUGACUUGUCUGUACCCUACAUACUAUGUCAUCU